GACGUAGGGCGCGAGCGUUGUCCGGAUUUAUUGGGCGUAAAGAGCUCGUAGGCGGCUUGUCGCGUCGUCCGUGAAAACUCACAGCUCAACUGUGAGCUUGCGGUCGAUACGGGCAGGCUAGAGUUCGGUAGGGGAGACUGGAAUUCCUGGUGUAGCGGUGAAAUGCGCAGAUAUCGGGAAGAACACCCGUGGCGAAGGCGGCUCUCUGGGACGGUACUGACGCUGAGGAGCGAAAGCGUGGGGAGCGAACAGG
rnacentral:rRNA from 1 species